AUUGAACGCUGGCGGCAGGCCUAACACAUGCAAGUCGAAUGGUAACAGGAAACAGCUUGCUGUUUCGCUGACGAGUGGCGGACGGGUGAGUAAUGUCUGGGAAACUGCCUGAUGGAGGGGGAUAACUACUGGAAACGGUAGCUAAUACCGCAUAACGUCGCAAGACCAAAGAGGGGGACCUUCGGGCCUCUUGCCAUCAGAUGUGCCCAGAUGGGAUUAGCUAGUAGGUGGGGUAACGGCUCACCUAGGCGACGAUCCCUAGCUGGUCUGAGAGGAUGACCAGCCACACUGGAACUGAGACACGGUCCAGACUCCUACGGGAGGCAGCAGUGGGGAAUAUUGCACAAUGGGCGCAAGCCUGAUGCAGCCAUGCCGCGUGUAUGAAGAAGGCCUUCGGGUUGUAAAGUACUUUCAGCGGGGAGGAAGGGAGUAAAGUUAAUACCUUUGCCCAUUGACGUUACCCGCAGAAGAAGCACCGGCUAACUCCGUG
rnacentral:rRNA from 1 species